CCUACGGGAGGCAGCAGUGAGGAAUAUUGGUCAAUGGGCGCGAGCCUGAACCAGCCAAGUCGCGUGAGGGAUGACGGCCCUACGGGUUGUAAACCUCUUUUGCCGGGGAGCAACGGGCGCCACGUGUGGCGCCACUGAGAGUACCCGGAGAAAAAGCAUCGGCUAACUCCGUGCCAGCAGCCGCGGUAAUACGGAGGAUGCGAGCGUUAUCCGGAUUUAUUGGGUUUAAAGGGUGCGUAGGCGGAUCGUUAAGUCAGUGGUCAAAUUGAGGGGCUCAACCCCUUCCCGCCAUUGAAACUGGCGUUCUUGAGUGGGCGAGAAGUAUGCGGAAUGCGUGGUGUAGCGGUGAAAUGCAUAGAUAUCACGCAGAACUCCGAUUGCGAAGGCAGCAUACCGGCGCCCAACUGACGCUGAAGCUCGAAAGUGUGGGUAUCAAACAGGAUUAGAUACCCCAGUAGUC
rnacentral:rRNA from 1 species